UAUAGGAUGCCUGAGUUUUAAGGGCUAUUUUGAUGGAAUAGAUACGGUUUUUCCUCCUAUAU
rnacentral:tRNA from 1 species